CAGUAGCCGCGGUAAGACGAACCGUGCAAACGUUACUCGGAAUCACUGGGCUUAAAGCGCACGUAGGCGGCGACAUAAGUUAGAGGUGAAAUCCCAUCGGCUCAACCGUGGAACUGCCUCUAAUACUGUGUUGCUUGAGGGAGAACGGGGCAUUCGGAACUUCCGGUGGAGCGGUGAAAUGUGUUGAUAUCGGAAGGAACGCCGGUGGCGAAAGCGGAAUGCUGGGUCUCUUCUGACGCUGAGGUGCGAAAGCUAGGGUAGCGAACGGGAUUAGAUACCCCCGUAGUCCCUGUCUCUUAUA
rnacentral:rRNA from 1 species